rnacentral:rRNA from 1 species
GAUUAGAGUUUGAUCCUGGCUCAGAACGAACGCUGGCGGCGUGGAUAAGACAUGCAAGUCGAACGAUCACUAUUGGGUAGCAAUAUUCGGUAGUGGGAGUGGCGCAAGGGUGCGUAACACGUGGGCAAUUUGCCAUGAAGUCUGGAAUAACUUGCUGAAAGGCGAGCUAAUACCGGAUGUGAUUACUGGAAGGCAUCUUCUGGUACUUAAAGUCGGGGACCGCAAGGCCUGACACUUCUUGAUAAGCCCGCGGCCUAUCAGCUAGUUGGUGAGGUAACGGCUCACCAAGGCUAAGACGGGUAGCUGGUCUGAGAGGACGACCAGCCACACUGGAACUGAGACACGGUCCAGACACCUACGGGUGGCAGCAGUCGAGAAUUUUUCUCAAUGGGGGAAACCCUGAAGGAGCGACGCCGCGUGGGGGAUGAAUGGCUUCGGCCCGUAAACCCCUGUCAUUUGCGAUCAAACCUUACGACUUAACACGUCGUAAGCUGAUAGAGCGAAGGAAGA